GCCGGGCAUCUCCCCCACACGGGGGGAGAGCGGGUUGGGGCCGACGUCUCGCGCUGAUCCCACUCUCCCCCCGUGUGGGGGAGAUGUCACGA
rnacentral:pre_miRNA from 1 species